rnacentral:rRNA from 1 species
GGUUAAGCGACUAAGCGUACACGGUGGAUGCCCUGGCAGUCAGAGGCGAUGAAGGACGUGCUAAUCUGCGAUAAGCGUCGGUAAGGUGAUAUGAACCGUUAUAACCGGCGAUUUCCGAAUGGGGAAACCCAGUGUGUUUCGACACACUAUCAUUAACUGAAUCCAUAGGUUAAUGAGGCGAACCGGGGGAACUGAAACAUCUAAGUACCCCGAGGAAAAGAAAUCAACCGAGAUUCCCCCAGUAGCGGCGAGCGAACGGGGAGCAGCCCAGAGCCUGAAUCAGUGUGUGUGUUAGUGGAAGCGUCUGGAAAGGCGCGCGAUACAGGGUGACAGCCCCGUACACAAAAAUGCACAUACUGUGAGCUCGAUGAGUAGGGCGGGACACGUGGUAUCCUGUCUGAAUAUGGGGGGACCAUCCUCCAAGGCUAAAUACUCCUGACUGACCGAUAGUGAACCAGUACCGUGAGGGAAAGGCGAAAAGAACCCCGGCGAGGGGAGUGAAAAAGAACCUGAAACCGUGUACGUACAAGCAGUGGGAGCCUCUUUAUGGGGUGACUGCGUACCUUUUGUAUAAUGGGUCAGCGACUUAUAUUCUGUAGCAAGGUUAACCGAAUAGGGGAGCCGAAGGGAAACCGAGUCUUAACUGGGCGUUAAGUUGCAGGGUAUAGACCCGAAACCCGGUGAUCUAGCCAUGGGCAGGUUGAAGGUUGGGUAACACUAACUGGAGGACCGAACCGACUAAUGUUGAAAAAUUAGCGGAUGACUUGUGGCUGGGGGUGAAAGGCCAAUCAAACCGGGAGAUAGCUGGUUCUCCCCGAAAGCUAUUUAGGUAGCGCCUCGUGAAUUCAUCUCCGGGGGUAGAGCACUGUUUCGGCAAGGGGGUCAUCCCGACUUACCAACCCGAUGCAAACUGCGAAUACCGGAGAAUGUUAUCACGGGAGACACACGGCGGGUGCUAACGUCCGUCGUGAAGAGGGAAACAACCCAGACCGCCAGCUAAGGUCCCAAAGUCAUGGUUAAGUGGGAAACGAUGUGGGAAGGCCCAGACAGCCAGGAUGUUGGCUUAGAAGCAGCCAUCAUUUAAAGAAAGCGUAAUAGCUCACUGGUCGAGUCGGCCUGCGCGGAAGAUGUAACGGGGCUAAACCAUGCACCGAAGCUGCGGCAGCGACACUAUGUGUUGUUGGGUAGGGGAGCGUUCUGUAAGCCUGUGAAGGUGUGCUGUGAGGUAUGCUGGAGGUAUCAGAAGUGCGAAUGCUGACAUAAGUAACGAUAAAGCGGGUGAAAAGCCCGCUCGCCGGAAGACCAAGGGUUCCUGUCCAACGUUAAUCGGGGCAGGGUGAGUCGACCCCUAAGGCGAGGCCGAAAGGCGUAGUCGAUGGGAAACAGGUUAAUAUUCCUGUACUUGGUGUUACUGCGAAGGGGGGACGGAGAAGGCUAUGUUGGCCGGGCGACGGUUGUCCCGGUUUAAGCGUGUAGGCUGGUUUUCCAGGCAAAUCCGGAAAAUCAAGGCUGAGGCGUGAUGACGAGGCACUACGGUGCUGAAGCAACAAAUGCCCUGCUUCCAGGAAAAGCCUCUAAGCAUCAGGUAACAUCAAAUCGUACCCCAAACCGACACAGGUGGUCAGGUAGAGAAUACCAAGGCGCUUGAGAGAACUCGGGUGAAGGAACUAGGCAAAAUGGUGCCGUAACUUCGGGAGAAGGCACGCUGAUAUGUAGGUGAAGUCCCUUGCGGAUGGAGCUGAAAUCAGUCGAAGAUACCAGCUGGCUGCAACUGUUUAUUAAAAACACAGCACUGUGCAAACACGAAAGUGGACGUAUACGGUGUGACGCCUGCCCGGUGCCGGAAGGUUAAUUGAUGGGGUUAGCGGUAACGCGAAGCUCUUGAUCGAAGCCCCGGUAAACGGCGGCCGUAACUAUAACGGUCCUAAGGUAGCGAAAUUCCUUGUCGGGUAAGUUCCGACCUGCACGAAUGGCGUAAUGAUGGCCAGGCUGUCUCCACCCGAGACUCAGUGAAAUUGAACUCGCUGUGAAGAUGCAGUGUACCCGCGGCAAGACGGAAAGACCCCGUGAACCUUUACUAUAGCUUGACACUGAACAUUGAGCCUUGAUGUGUAGGAUAGGUGGGAGGCUUUGAAGUGUGGACGCCAGUCUGCAUGGAGCCGACCUUGAAAUACCACCCUUUAAUGUUUGAUGUUCUAACGUUGGCCCCUGAUCGGGGUUGCGGACAGUGUCUGGUGGGUAGUUUGACUGGGGCGGUCUCCUCCUAAAGAGUAACGGAGGAGCACGAAGGUUGGCUAAUCCUGGUCGGACAUCAGGAGGUUAGUGCAAUGGCAUAAGCCAGCUUGACUGCGAGCGUGACGGCGCGAGCAGGUGCGAAAGCAGGUCAUAGUGAUCCGGUGGUUCUGAAUGGAAGGGCCAUCGCUCAACGGAUAAAAGGUACUCCGGGGAUAACAGGCUGAUACCGCCCAAGAGUUCAUAUCGACGGCGGUGUUUGGCACCUCGAUGUCGGCUCAUCACAUCCUGGGGCUGAAGUAGGUCCCAAGGGUAUGGCUGUUCGCCAUUUAAAGUGGUACGCGAGCUGGGUUUAGAACGUCGUGAGACAGUUCGGUCCCUAUCUGCCGUGGGCGCUGGAGAACUGAGGGGGGCUGCUCCUAGUACGAGAGGACCGGAGUGGACGCAUCACUGGUGUUCGGGUUGUCAUGCCAAUGGCACUGCCCGGUAGCUAAAUGCGGAAGAGAUAAGUGCUGAAAGCAUCUAAGCACGAAACUUGCCCCGAGAUGAGUUCUCCCUGACCCUUUAAGGGUCCUGAAGGAACGUUGAAGACGACGACGUUGAUAGGCUGGGUGUGUAAGCGCAGCGAUGCGUUGAGCUAACCGGUACUAAUGAACCGUGAGGCUUAACCUU